rnacentral:rRNA from 1 species
GAUGAACGCUAGCGGCAGGCCUAAUACAUGCAAGUCGGACGGGAUUGAGUAGCUUGCUAUUCAUGAGAGUGGCGCACGGGUGCGUAACACGUAUGUAACCUACCUUGUUCAGGGGGAUAGCCUCUCGAAAGAGAGAUUAAGACCGCAUAACAUUAAGAUGUGGCAUCACAAUUUAAUCAAAUAUUUAUAGGAACAAGAUGGGCAUGCGGAACAUUAGCUAGUUGGUGAGGUAACGGCUCACCAAGGCUACGAUGUUUAGGGGAUCUGAGAGGAUGACCCCCCACACUGGUACUGAGACACGGACCAGACUCCUACGGGAGGCAGCAGUAAGGAAUAUUGGUCAAUGGACGGAAGUCUGAACCAGCCAUGCCGCGUGCAGGAAGACGGCCCUAUGGGUUGUAAACUGCUUUUGCAGGGGAAUAAACCUCGAUACGUGUAUCGAGCUGAAUGUACUCUGAGAAUAAGGAUCGGCUAACUCCGUGCCAGCCGCCGCUGUAAUAC